UACGUAGGGCGCAAGCGUUGUCCGGAAUUAUUGGGCGUAAAGAGCUCGUAGGCGGUUUGUCGCGUCUGCUGUGAAAACCUAAGGCUCAACCUUGGGCUUGCAGUGGGUACGGGCAGACUAGAGUGCGGUAGGGGUGACUGGAAUUCCUGGUGUAGCGGUGGAAUGCGCAGAUAUCAGGAGGAACACCGAUGGCGAAGGCAGGUCACUGGGCCACAACUGACGCUGAGGAGCGAAAGCAUGGGGAGCGAACAGG
rnacentral:rRNA from 1 species